rnacentral:rRNA from 1 species
UCGAGAAUUUUGGGCAAUGGGGGAAACCCUGACCCAGCAACGCCGCGUGAAGGAUGAAGUAUUUCGGUAUGUAAACUUCGAAAGAAUAGGAAGAAUAAAUGACGGUACUAUUUAUAAGGUCCGGCUAACUACGUGCCAGCAGCCGCGGUAAUACGUAGGGACCAAGCGUUGUUCGGAUUUACUGGGCGUAAAGGGCGCGUAGGCGGCAAUUCAAGUCAUCUGUGAAAUCUCCGGGCUUAACUCGGAACGGUCAGAUGAUACUGCUUUGCUAGAGUGCAGAAGGGGCAAUCGGAAUUCUUGGUGUAGCGGUGAAAUGCGUAGAUAUCAAGAGGAACACCUGAGGUGAAGACGGGUUGCUGGGCUGACACUGACGCUGAGGCGCGAAAGCCAGGGGAGCAAACGGGAUUAGAUACCCGGGUAGUCCCUGAGCGGGCUGGCAAGGCGCAU